UAACACGUGGGUAACCUGCCCAUAAGAGGGGGGAUAACAUCCGGAAACGGGUGCUAAUACCGCAUAGUUUUCUUGGUCGCAUGAUCGGGAAAGGAAGACGGCCUUUGUGCUGUCGCUUAUGGAUGGACCCGCGGCGUAUUAGUUAGUUGGUGAGGUAACGGCUCACCAAGACGAUGAUACGUAGCCGACCUGAGAGGGUGAUCGGCACAUUGGGACUGAGACACGGCCCAAACUCCUACGGGAGGCAGGCAGUAGGGAAUCUUCCGCAAUGGACGAAAGUCUGACGGAGCAACGCCGCGUGAGUGAAAAGAAGGUUUUCGGAUCGUAAAACUCUGUUGUCAGAGAAGAACAAGUUGGAGAGUAACUGCUCCAGCCUUGACGGUAUCUGACCAGAAAGCCACGGCUAACUACGUGCCAGCCGCGGC
rnacentral:rRNA from 1 species